CCUACGGGUGGCAGCAGCUAAGAAUCUUCCGCAAUGGACGAAAGUCUGACGGAGCGACGCCGCGUGAAUGAAGAAGGCCGAAAGGUUGUAAAAUUCUUUUGCAGAUGAAGAAUAAGGAGAUGAGGGAAUGCAUCUUCGAUGACGGUAAUCAUGCGAAUAAGGGGCGGCUAAUUACGUGCCAGCAGCCGCGGUAACACGUAAGCCCCUAGCGUUGUUCGGAAUUAUUGGGCGUAAAGGGUAUGUAGGCGGUUAAGUAAGCCUGAUGUGAAAUCUACGAGCUCAAAUCGUAAACAGCAUUGGGUACUGCUUGUCUUGAAUCACGGAGGGGGAAUCGGAAUUCCAAGUGUAGGGGUGGAAUCUGUAGAUAUUUGGAAGAACACCGGUGGCGAAGGCGGGUUUCUGGCCGAUGAUUGACGCUGAUAUACGAAGGUGCGGGGAGCAAACAGGAUUAGAUACCCUUGUAGUC
rnacentral:rRNA from 1 species